AGUCGUAACAAGGUAUCCGUAGGUGAACCUGCGGAUGGAUCAUUAACAAAGGUCCAUCCUUCAAUCUGUGAACUGGUCAUUACCACGGUUGGCACCGCGCCUGCAAGUUGGGUGAUUCCUCUUCGGGCACCGGGGCUGAUUGCAGCGGCACUCGCAGUGAAGCCCUUCCAUGGGCAGCGCUGCGGGGUCUGCUGGUGCUGAACGCCUGUAGGCACUAGUGGGCAGCUGCUGCUGUGAUCAUACCCGGGGGUGCCAACUGUACCCUUACUCGUAUGUACAAGAAGCACUGAAGUACGUUUCGUAACAGAAACAAAAAUUACAACUUUUAGCAAUGGAUCUCUAGGCUCUU
rnacentral:misc_RNA from 1 species